AAAGCACAGAAGUGGGAGGCUCCUUUAAGCUUCAGCGAUCUAUAUGAUUGGUCAUUUUACUCGCAUCCUUACAAAGGCGGGUGGAUGCAACUGCGCGCAUCACACCAGAGUCACUUUUUUACAGACAUUGAUGCUUUCACUCUUUUGUAGUUUUCUCUCGUUGGAUGAACCCAACUACAAAAUAAGAUGUUUUAAAGGGAUCUGAUCAGGUGCCAAAAACACAUCGGAUGGCGUCCACAGAAGGUCAAAAGGGGUGUCAAAGGCCAUCACGUUUCGAAUACAGAUGUGUGACCUCCCUGACCUUUGCAGGGACUGAGCUUUUUCAAAGCCAAACACAGGCAGGCUGCAUUUCUGAAACUAAGCCUCUAAAGUCAUGCAGGUGCGAUCGCCACACCUGAAUUUCAUACAGAAACACUUUAACUCUGUAAUGACCCUCGUUUGCUCAUAUGACAUAAGCAAAUAAAUAAACGUAUUUCUGACA